GUCGCAUCCUGGGGCUGGAGUCGGUCCCAAGGGUUGGGCUGUUCGCCCAUUAAAGCGGUACGCGAGCUGGGUUUAGAACGUCGUGAGACAGUUCGGUCCCUAUCCGCUGUGCGCGUAGGAGUCUUGAGAAGGGCUGUCCCUAGUACGAGAGGACCGGGACGGACGAACCUCUGGUGUGCCAGUUGUUCUGCCAAGGGCAUGGCUGGUUGGCUACGUUCGGGAGGGAUAACCGCUGAAAGCAUCUAAGCGGGAAGCCUGCUUCGAGAUGAGGACUCCCACCCCCUUGAGGGGUUAAGGCUCCCAGUAGACGACUGGGUUGAUAGGCCGGAUCUGGAAGCACCGUGAGGUGUGGAGGUGACCGGUACUAAUAGGCCGAGGGCUUGUCCUCAGUUG
rnacentral:rRNA from 1 species